rnacentral:lncRNA from 1 species
AGCGCCAACAACACAAAGAAAGAUAUUUUGGUGCCAUUUACACCAGUCAACAACCAGCCAAGAAUAGAUGGCUAACGACUCACCCGACAAAAAGGAAACCUAUAUAGUUCCAACCAUUUAGUUACACCACCUCUACAACAAUCACAUUCAUUACAACUUGGCCACGAAAGCAAGAAACAAUCAACUAGCGAGGAAAAAAUUCUUUAUCUACAGCUUGCUUGCCAUUUCAUUUCAACACUAGCUAGUUCUACAACACUGGCACUGAGAACCAGAUCUUAAGCUUGUACAAAUCUUCAGCUUGCCAUUUACCAAAUUCGCAUGGCAACAAUACCGGUCUCCAACAGUUCGCCAACACCACCAGCCAAGAAAUAAAGCACAAACAACCACGCCAAGUAGACAACAAUAUCACUAGCCAGGCAUAUCAACAAACGGAGCACAAGUUGCCAUUUCCUCUAGUGCUUCCAAGUCUCCACUUAUGGGGGCCACGGCACCGUCUUCGUCAAUCUCCAUGGCACCUACACCAAACAAUCGGCCAAGCUCUUAGCAGAGGAAGUCACCAAAUUAAGUAAAAACCUCAAUCUGGGUUAGGGUAGAUAAAUAGAUAGAAGUAAUAAAGGAAAAUACAUACGCAGCAGUUAAAAAGACACCAAGGUGUGGGUGUGGUAUCCUUGAUUAACAGCAAAAGAAAAGGCAUGAUAAUCUUUCUACAAACAAGAAUGAGAUUCUAACAGCUCUUGACAUCAAAUGAGCUUUUAUAUUAGUGCCAUUUCUGAGCUUUCUAUAUGAAAGCCUUUUCUAGCUAUCAAGCUAUCAGUAAAAUAACAGUAGCUUCAGAACUAUGCAAAAACACUGACUGACCACGCAUGCAUCCGAAACUGACAAGUGAGCUAUGCAAACAAAACCAGAUUGAAAAAAACUAAACACAAAUUGAUCAUGUUCCGUCAGCAAAGACCGCUGCCAAAACUGAAUUUGUUCGUCUUCCCGCUCUAGAGCUUCUCUAAACAAGUAGUCUGCAGGUACAAAUGAAUGGAAGAGAGAAGGAAGAAAGGCUAGUCCUCUCUCAAUUGGUUCAUGAUGCAUACGACAAAACCAAGAUAUGUGCCAUGAGAUCAAGAACCCUCCACAAACGUCAUAAUGAACAUGCCCCAACAACCCUUCCUGGGACGAAUGAGAACUAUGCUCCUAAAGUAACAUGCAAGUGAUUUACUUGAUAAGUACACGUCAGAUUACCUAGCUAGAACGGAUCCAGAGGAACACCGAUCCAUUUAACUAGCUACCAACAAGCAUUACCGAGCCCAAUUUGGGCCAUCAAGAGACCAAACAGAAAAGCUAAGUAGUCAUUGCACACAGAGGCCAUGACCCAGAGCUAUACCAUGGCUCGAUGACCAUGUGCACAAAGCAAGGGCAAGAGCAGAGAAUGCCUUUAAAAUGUUUGUAGUCGAGGCAGAACCACGCCAUCAGGAUCAUUACCCUCUUGCUUAAGUAGUGUGUUUGUUCUUUCUACCACGUGGCUAUCCGUAACAGAGCCCUCUUGAAAACUUGAGGAGAAAAAAAUUGUGAUUUUAGUAAGGGGAAGUACAAAACUAAAAUAUAGAGAUGUGUGAAGAAAAAAAUCGACUACAAUAUUAUAGUCAAGUAAACAUGCCAAGGUAGGUUAGAUAGGACAAACAACUUGUAGCCUUCUAGUAAUAUAACUUCCACGUUCCAAAUGAGAAGAUGAUCGAUAUAAUGAACACCAUUUAGGUGCAAAUAGGCAAAGAAUAUCUGCUAUGAGAUGUAGUUUGAUGCCAGUAGUAGAUAAAGGAUGCCAAAAGGCACUAAUCAUGAUAAAGAUCAUGUUAGAGUAACAUUUGAUCUCAAGUAGUUGUAUUAUUUAACAGGAUGCAAAACACAAAUUGCAACCCUACAAUACAUAGCAGCAAUGCACAAUGUGCAAGAAUUUUGCCUUGUAGCAACAGCAGCAUAAAGGUAACUAUACAUACAUGACUCUGAUCAAUGGUCGCCCUUGUGCUUUUCUAUAUAUGGCCGACAAGCUAGUAGAGUGGGAGUUAUUUGGUUGUAUGAUCCUGAAGAAACAAAGGCGUGAUGAUCAUGUUCCUCUGCUUCAGUUAGCCAACCGAGGGAAUCAGGGAGGAUAAAUGUACGGCUUAAAACUAGACUCUGGCUGGGCAAACCCAGUUACAGAUGUGUGCAAGCUGCUGGAGCCGGAGCGCAACUAUUAAAUUGGACAUGCAUGCAUUCAGUAAGUGAGUCGCCUCUGUUAGAAGAACUGCAACCUUGUAGCGAAAUUAUGAGCUGGUAUAUAUUAACCUGGUUGUUCAACUUGUAAACUGAAGAGGAACACAUACGAGCUUGACCAUGAUAGAGAUAGUCGAAAAAAAAUUACAACAGCAAAGCCAAAACUAUUAUAACAGAAGAUGCAACAGCAAAGAAGAAGCAUGAAGUGCAACAGAGCAUUUCGCUGGGAAGUUGUGAUCUAACGAGCAGUGCUCCUAACUCUUCCGAAAAUCAGGUUCUACUGCUAGCAGGUUAAUGAAUGUGCUAUAAUUUCAUCAUCAUCCACAACAUAUCUUAGAAACGGGAAACCAGUGUAAACUAGCUAGAAUUUUUGUAUUGAGAAGAUCACGAGGUAAUCAAAAUCAAAAACCUAUGUAACUGAACAGUUCAAUACACAUGAUGCAAUGGAUACAUGAAGAAUUAUGAACUGCAACAGACCUUCAUUGGCAAAUUGACAAAUCAAGUCCAAACUGAUGCAACCAUUUGAUUUAAUAGGCAGUGCUCCACGCUCUUCCACAAAUCAAGUCCAACUUGAUAGUAAACAAAGAGGACUAAAUAUUAAGAAUCAAGAAAACCACCAGAUGUUCUUUAAGAAACUAAGAAGAUUUUGCUAAAAGAAAGGCAGAACAGAGACACAAGGAAUAUCAGCAGAAGGAUCAAAUGGUACAAUGGGCGGAGAGCGUUUUGAUCAAGUGAACUCGGAAUAUAGUUGGUGAAACAACAGAAUGGUUGUCAAGGAAAGAAGAUGCUAGUUGUGACAAACAAGAAAGAUGUAUAUACAAAGAAAACACUCCAUUGCAAAUUAGCGAUUACAACCAAGAAAAGUUAUGAAACCAGAAAAGCAGAUUGAACAAGAACGAAUGGUUUAUAGGUGCUCAGAAUCAACAGGUGUAUAGGAGUCAUUCAUGAGGAUAUCCCGUCAGUAUGAGGUAUGUUUUGUAACCAUUGCACAAUUGCAACCACCAGCAACAAGAAUAAAUCAUUUACCAAAUCACACGAGCUUAAAAAUAUUGAACUAGGAACACGAGUUUCAAGUCUUGGGGCCGGAUAACACAACUCAAGUCAAUUAAAUAUGAGCUCCAAUGAUGACAUAUAAGAAAUUACAAUGGACCCAGGUAAGCAUUUGGUUCAAACACAAAACAAAAUUUACAGGAAAUAAACACAAAAAACAAUCAUCCAAUGAAGCCAGAAAAAGAUGGUUUGUUGGUGCUCAGAUUCUAUGGGUGUAUAGGAGUCAUUCACAGGGUUCUCCUGUCAGUAUGAGGAAUGUUUUAUAAGCACUGCACCACAAAUGGUUCAACUCGCUAAAUCAAAAAUACCAGAAGAAUACUAGAUAGGAAAAACAUUAAAAAAUGUAAAAGAGCAGAGAUUAAACUGCAAUCUCGGAGCAGAGAUCCAUCUAGACAUAUUUUUGCUCCAAGCACCACCUGAGUUCUGAAAGUGACGCACACUGUUAAUAUGUUAUUAUCAGUAUUGUUUCAUCCUCACUGCGCUCAAACGCCACAAAUGAAGAAACAAGAACACAACAUAAGGGAAUAUUAUCGAGGAUGCAUCAGAUAUCCAACGUUAAAAGGGUGUGACAUCACAGAGACACCUCAGACGCAAAUUACACAUAAAACUUGUGUCUUCUCACCUGCAUCAAUAUUGCUCUUCCAAGAAACAGCAACAAGAACAAGGAAAGACUAAAUUCAAGAGAAACAAAGAAUGACGGAUAGGAAAAGAAUGACAGGACUUGCAGCACAGCCCAUGGCUAUCCAUUCCUGCAUCCACAUCCACAAACCCAACAGAUAAUUCAUUUUACUUGAGACUAAGCUCGGUUCUAAUUUCAAAGCUAAUAGCUUUGUGGUUUAAUUUUAAACUGAACUAAAUUAAUUUCUCAGGAACUAACUAGGGACUAUGAUCAGGUUCGGUUUAGAAUUCAGGCUAUCGACCAUGCAAAUAAAACCAAUAGGGAAAUUAAUUACACAAAAUAACCAUAUCUUGAACACAUGAAAUUACUGUACCAAGAACUAAGCUAGAAAACAAAGCCAAGAAGAAAACAACUUUUUUUUGUGGAAACGAGAGGAUGAUCAGAUUUGGUUCAGUAUUGAGGCCAUCAUAUCAGCCAAUCAAACCAAUAGGAAAAUUAACCUCAUCUCUCGUCUUUUCCUUUUUCGUAGUAGUCCGAGUUCAAGCUACUGUAGCAAUAUUUACUGUCCAUCUUUUUCAGCUCUGCUCCAGAAAAGAGAAAGGAUAAACCAAAAAAAAAUUUAACACAACAGUGAGGGCGGCUGCAUCAGAUUUCCAAGGUGAGCAAGAAUGUGACAUCACAGAAACGCCUCAGAUGGAAAUUACCAAUAAUCUAGGGUCUCGUCAUCUGCAUCCACUAUGCCCAUUUCAAUUAGAAAACAAAGUUUCUAUUUGAAUUGAUCUAACAUUGCUUGUUUGUUCUUAAACUGUACUAAAAUGAUCUUUGGUAGAAUUCUACAACAAACACCACAAUAUCUUUGAAAGAGGGAAAAAAGGGCAGCCCGGUGCAUGUAGCUCCUGCUUGCGCAGGGUCCGGGGAAUGGUCCGACCACUUUGGGUCUAUAGUACGUAGCAUUUCCCUACAUUUCUGUAAGAGGUUGUUUCCGGGACUUGAACCCAUGACCUCAUGGUCGAUAAUCAGAUUAUGUUCAGUAUUUAGGCAAUCAAGUUGAUCAAUCAAACCAACAGGAAAAUUAAUCAUCCGUCAUCUUACCUUUGUCUAUUUAACUAGCAAAUAGAUCUAUUGAAUAAAUGAAUGUACCAUAUAAAUAGCAAAUCUAAUGAACAUGAUGAGGUGACCAAAAACAGGUCGGCUUUUUUUGAUGAUCAUAUUUGGUUCAGUAUUUGGGCCAUCAUAUCGGCCAAUCAAAACAAUAGGAAAUUUAAUCUCAUUCAUCAUCUCAUCUCUCGCCAAUUAAAACCCAAAACAAAGGAUUUUUUUAACAAAAUUAGUAAGAACACGAAAGACAUGACUGAGGUGGAUGCAUCAGAUCUCCAAGGUGAAAAAGAGUGACAUCACAUAAAUGCCUCAGAUGCAAAUUAACCAUAAACUUGAGUCUUCUCAUCUGCAUCGACAACGCUAAUUUCAACAACAAAAAAGAAACUUACAAACACAUUAAAAGGAGAGACACUAGAUUAACCGGCGAAGUAUUCUUUCUACAAGAAAGAGAGAGAAACAGUAUGGGAUAUUAUCAGAUGGAACCAAUACAUGAUUCAUUGGAAAUCAUAUCAUCCAUCAACAAUGCAAAUAUCCUCAUCUCACCCAAACGAAUCAAAAAUAGUAAGAAAAAACAAACAACGUGGAUAUUAUCAAGGAUGCAACAGAUCUCCAAGGUGAAAAUGGUCUGGCUUCACAGAGAAGCCUCAGACGCAAAUUACCCAUAAAAAUUAUGUCUCCUCAUCUACAUCAACAAUGCUCCUUGAAGAAACAACAGCAAGAACAAGAAUGAAAUAUAAAUUUCAGAUGCCAAGAUCCCAAAUAAAUAUCAAACCCUAACAAAUACCAUAUACAAUAGUAGUACAGGGAUCCUAAGUCGCACGCGCACCCCGCACGCGGAUGGAUGACCAUCUCCCGUAUAUAUAGACAAGAGAAGAGAAGAGAAGAGAUGACGACAUGGUGGGGUGCAGCAGCCGCAUGCGUGCUCAAAUGGCCAAAGACAAGCCCAUGCCCCGGACCCUUGCUCCCUCACUUGGCUGGUCGAUGGCUGUCUCAUGGGCAUCCCUAGGCAACGUUGAUAACCGAACCGGUCUCUUGCAAUUUAUCUCCUCCUUGUAAUCAGCCUCCACGAGCUCACCCAACCCAGCUUUGCCUCGAGACUCGAGAGAGAUAAUGGCUAGUGUUCGUUGUAAGCUGCAUGCAGGAGGCGAACCACCAGGCGGGGCAUUAGUUACAGAAGUUGAACUGAUCGAUCGAGCACCAGAUUAAUUGUACUAUGUUAUGUCACCCAAAGAGAUCCAACCACCGAAGAGAGGGAGGACGUAGUACGAGAUGAGAUAGACGCCACUAAGCAUGGUACGUCACAGCAAUAUAAUAUAAUGGCAUCGAUCGACGAGUGUGCUCGUGUGUGUUGGUUUACUGCUGACUGGUUGGACAUUUGUGCUGGCCUUUUUGUUUGAUUUUGCUACUGAACAGAUGGCUGUGGUUUGCUUCAUGGAUCGGCCAGGCAGCCACCUGUUUCUUCUUCAGUUGCAUAAUACAUCAUUUGGUUACUGCUGGCAACAGCCACCAUUUCUCUUCUUUCUUUUGCAUGUAUAUAAUUUGGUUACUGCUGGCAACAAUUCUGUCGUCAAACUGAAGAACUUUAUAUAUGCAUGAUGAUGAUGCCUGGGCAAUCUACAUUCACAAUAUGCAUAGCGAGCCACGACCAAUUUCUUCUCGACUACUCCCUCCGUUCCUAAAUAUAACUCUUUGUAGAGAUUUCACUAUGGAGUGUAGAUUCAUUCAUUUUACUCCGUAUGUGGUCCAUGGUGAAAUCCCUCCAAAAACUUAUAUUUAGAAACGGAGCUUUAGAUGCACUCCAUAAAAAGAAAGGUUGAUGAUAAACAAGAACAAAAUCUCUUAUGUCGCAAAAUAAAUCAUGCAUGCAUGCCUCCUCCAAACAGACAAUUCAAGCCUUAUUUAGCACACCACUCUCAACCAUCGCAGCCAACAAAGACAACUCCGGUUCAAUUUCGCAGCCAACAAAGCACAAACAGCUUGCUCAUCUCGCCGUUUUAUCUAGCGCCAACAACACAAAGAAAGAUAUUUUGGUGCCAUUUACACCAGUCAACAGCCAGCCAAGAAUAGAUGGCUAACGACUCACCCGACAAAAAGGAGACCUAUAUAGUUCCAACCAUUUAGUUACACCACCUCUACAACAAUCACAUUCAUUACAACUUGGCCACGAAAGCAAGAAACAAUCAACUAGCGACGAAAAAAUUCUUCAUCUACAGCUUGCUUGCCAUUUCAUUUCAACACUAGCUAGUUCUACAACACUGGCACUGAGAACCAGAUCUUAAGCUUGUACAAAUCUUCAGCUUUCCAUUUACCAAAUUCGCACAGCAACAAUACCGGUCUCCAACAGUUCACCAACACCACCAGCCAAGAAAUAAAGCACAAACAACCACGCCAAGUAGACAACAAUAUCACUAGCCAGGCAUAUCAACAAACGGAGCACAAGUUGCCAUUUCCUCUAGUGCUUCCAAGUCUCCACUUAUGGGGGCCAUGGCACCAUCUUCGUCAAUCUCCAUGGCACCUACACCAAACAAUCGGCCAAGCUCUUAGCAGAGGAAGUCACCAAAUUAAGUAAAAACCUCAAUCUGGGUUAGGGUAGAUAAAUAGAUAGAAGUAAUAAAGGAAAAUACAUACGCAGCAGUUAAAAAGACACCAAGGUGUGGGUGUGGUAUCCUUGAUUAACAACAAAAGAAAAAGCAUGAUAAUCUUCCUGCAAACAAGAAUGAGAUUCUAACAGCUCUUGACAUCAAAUGAGCUUUUAUAUUAGUGCCAUUUCUGAGCUUUCUAUAUGAAAGCCUUUUCUAGCUAUCAAGCUAUCAGUAAAAUAACAGUAGCUUCAGAACUAUGCAAAAACACUAACUGACCACGCAUGCAUCCGAAACUGACAAGUGAGCUAUGCAAACAGAACCAGAUUGAAAAAAAACUAAAAACAAAUUGAUCAUGUUCCGUCUGCAAAGACCGCUGCCAAAACUGAAUCUGUUCGUCUUCCCGCUCUAGAGCUUCUCUAAACAAGUAGUCUGCAGGUACAAAUGAAGGGAAGAGAGAAGGAAGAAAGGCUAGUCCUCUCUCAAUUGGUUCAUGAUGCAUACGACAAAACCAAGAUAUGUGCCGUGAGAUCAAGAACCCUCCACAAACGUCAUAAUGAACAUGCCCCAACAACCCUUCCUGGGACGAAUGAGAACUAUGCUCCUAAAGUAACAUGCAAGUGAUUUACUUGAUAAGUACACGUCAGAUUACCUAGCUAGAACGGAUCCAGAGGAACACCGAUUCAUUUAACUAGCUACCAACAAGCAUUACCGAGCCCAAUUGGGGCCAUCAAGAGACCAAACAGAAAAGCUAAGUAGUCAUUGCACACAGAGGCCAUGACCCAGAGCUAUACCAUGGCUCGAUGACCAUGUCCACAAAGCAAGGGCAAGAGCAGAGAAUGCCUUUAAAAUGUUUGUAGUCGAGGCAGAACCACGCCAUCAGGAUAAUUACCCUCUUGCUUAAGUAGUGUGUUUGUUCUUUCUACCACGUGGCUAUCCGUAACAGAGCCCUCUUGAAAACUUGAGGAGAAAAAAAUUGUGAUUUUAGUAAGGGGAGGUACAAAACUAAAAUAUAGAGAUGUGUGAAGAAAAAAAUCGACUACAAUAUUAUAGUCAAGUAAACAUGCCAAGGUAGGUAAGAUAGGACAAAGAACUUGUAGCCUUCUAGUAAUAUAGCUUCCACGUUCCAAAUGAGAAGAUGAUCGAUAUAAUGAACACCAUUUAGGUGCAAAUAGGCAAAGAAUAUCUGCUAUGAGAUGCAGUUUGAUGCCAGUAGUAGAUAAAGGAUGCCAAAAGGCACUAAUCAUGAUAAAGAUCAUGUUAGAGUAACAUUUGAUCUCAAGUAGUUGUAUUAUUUAACAGGAUGCAAAACACAAAUUGCAACCCUACAAUACAUAGCAGCAAUGCACAAUGUGCAAGAAUUUUGCCUUGUAGCAACAACAGCAUAAAGGUAACUAUACAUACAUGACUCUGAUCAAUGUUCGCCCUUGUGCUUUUCUAUAUAUGGCCGACAAGCUAGUAGAGUGGGAGUUAUUUGGUUGUAUGAUCCAGAAGAAACAAAGGCGUGAUGAUCAUCUUCCUCUGCUUCAGUUAGCCAACCGAGGGAAUCAGGGAGGAUAAAUGUACGGCUUAAAACUAGACUCUGGCUGGGCAAACCCAGUUACAGAUGUGUGCAAGCUGCUGGAGCCGGAGCGCAGCUAUUAAAUUGGACAUGCAUGCAUUUAGUAAGUGAGUCCCCUCUGUUAGAAGAACUGCAACCUUGUAGCGAAAUUAUGAGCUGGUAUAUAUUAACCUGGUUGUUCAACUUGUAAACUGAAGAGGAACACAUACGAGCUUGACCAUGAUAGAGAUAGUCGAAAAAAAUUACAACAGCAAAGCCAAAACUACUAUAACAGAAGAUGCAACAGCAAAGAAGAAGCAUGAAGUGCAACAGAGCAUUUCGCUGGGAAGUUGUGAUCUAACGAGCAGUGCUCCAAACUCUUCCGAAAAUCAGGUUCUACUGCUAGCAGGUUAAUGAAUGUGCUAUAAUUUCAUCAUCAUCCACAACAUAUCUUAGAAACGGGAAACCAGUGUAAACUAGCUAGAAUUUUUGUAUUGAGAAGAUCACGAGGUAAUCAAAAUCAAAGACCUAUGUAACUGAACAGUUCAAUACACAUGAUGCAAUGGAUACAUGAAGAAUUAUGAACUUCAACAGACCUUCAUUGGCAAAUUGACAAAUCAAGUCCAAACUGAUGCAAUCAUUUGAUUUAAUAGGCAGUGCUCCACGCUCUUCCACAAAUCAAGUCCAACUUGAUAGUAAACAAAGAGGACUAAAUAUUAAGAAUCAAGAAAACCACCAGAUGUUCUUUAAGAAACUAAGAAGAUUUCGCUAACAGAAAGGCAGAACAGAGACACGAGGAAUAUCAGCAGAAGGAUUAAAUGGGAUAAUGGGCGGGGAGCGUUUUGAUCAAGUGAACUCGGAAUAUAGUUGGUGAAACAAUAGAAUGGUUGUCAAGGAAAGAAGAUGCCAGUUGUGACAAACAAGAAAGAUGUAUAUACAAAGAAAACACUCCAUUGCAAAUUAGCGAUUACAACCAAGAAAAGUUAUGAAACCAGAAAAGCAGAUUGAACAAGAACGAAUGGUUUAUAGGUGCUCAGAAUCAACAGGUGUAUAGGAGUCGUUCAUGAGGAUAUCCCAUCAGUAUGAGGUAUGUUUUGUAACCAUUGCACAAUUGCAACCACCAGCAACAAGAAUAAAUCAUUUACCAAAUCACACGAGCUUAAAAAUAUUGAACUAGGAACACGAGUUUCAAGUCUUGGGGCCGGAUAACACAACUCAAGUCAAUUAAAUAUGAGCUCCAAUGAUGACAUAUAAGAAAUUUCAAUGGAUCCAGGUAAGCAUUUGGUUCAAACACAAAACAAACUUUAUAGGAAAUAAACACAAAAAACAAUCAUCCAAUGAAGCUAGAAAAAGAAUGGUUUGUUGGUGCUCAGAUUCUAUGGGUGUAUAGGAGUCAUUCACAGGGUUCUCCUGUCAGUAUGAGGAAUGUUUUAUAAGCACUGCAUCACAAAUGGUUCAACUCGCUAAAUCAAAAAUACCAGAAGAAUACUAGAUAGGAAAAACAUUAAAAAAAUGUAAAAGAGCAGAGAUUAAACUGCAAUCUCGAAGCAGACAUCCAUCUAGACAUAUUUUUGCUCCAAGCACCAGCUGAGUUCUGAAAGUGAUGCACACUGUUAAUAUGUUAUUAUCAGUAUUGUUUCAUCCUCACUGCGCUCAAACGCCACAAAUGAAGAAACAAGAACACAACAUAAGGGAAUAUUAUCGAGGAUGCAUCAGAUAUCCAACCUUAAAAGGGUGUGACAUCACAGAGACACCUCAGACGCAAAUUACACAUAAAACUUGUGUCUUCUCACCUGCAUCAAUAUUGCUCUUCCAAGAAACAGCAAGAAGAACAAGGAAAAACUAAAUUCAAGAGAAACAAAGAAUGACGGAUAGGAAAAGAAUGACAGGACUUGCAGCACAACCCAUGGCUAUCCACUCCUGCAUCCACAUCCACAAACCCAACAGAUAAUUCAUUUUACUUGAGACUAAGCUCGGUUCUAAUUUCAAAGCUAAUAGCUUUGUGGUUUAAUUUUAAACUGAACUGAAUUAAUUUCUCAGGAACUAACUAGGGACUAUGAUCAGGUUCGGUUUAGAAUUCAGGCUAUCGACCAUGCAAAUAAAACCAAUAGGGAAAUUAAUUAUUCAAAAUAACCAUCUCUUGAACACAUGAAAUUACUCUACCAAGAACUAAGCUAGAAAACAAAGCCAAGAAGAAAACAACUUUUUUUUGUGGAAACGAGAGGAUGAUCAGAUUCGGUUCAGUAUUAAGGCCAUCAUAUCAGCCAAUCAGGAAAAUUAACCUCAUCUCUCGUCUUUUCCUUUUUCGUAGUAGUCCGAGUUCAAGCUACUGUAGCAAUAUUUACUGUCCAUCUUUUUCAGUUCUGCUCCAGAAAGGAGAAAGGAUAAACCAAAAAAAAAAUUAACACAACAGUGAGGGCGGCUGCAUCAGAUCUCCAAGGUGAGAAAGAAUGUGACAUCACAGAAAUGCCUCAGAUGGAAAUUACCAAUAAUCUAGGGUCUCGUCAUCUGCAUCCACUAUGCCCAUUUCAAUUAGAAAACAAAGUUUCUAUUUGAAUUGAUCUAACAUUGCUUGUUUGUUGUUAAACUGUACUAAAAUGAUCUUUGGUAGAAUUCUGCAACAAACACCACAAUAUCUUUGAAACAGGGAAAAAAGGGCAGCCCGGUGCAUGUAGCUCCUGCUUGCGCAGGGUCCGGGGAAUGGUCCGACCACUUUGGGUCUAUAGUACGUAGCAUUUCCCUACAUUUCUGUAAGAGGUUGUUUCCGGGACUUGAACCCAUGACCUCAUGGUCGAUAAUCAGAUUAUGUUCAGUAUUUAGGCAAUCAAGUUGAUCAAUCAAACCAAUAGGAAAAUUAAUCAUCCGUCAUCUUAUCUCUGUCUAUUUAACUAGCAAAUAGAUCUAUUGAAUAAAUGUAUGUACCAUACAAAUAGCAAAUCUAAUGAACAUGAUGAGGUGACCAAAAACAGGUCGGCUUUUUUUGAUGAUCAUAUUUGGUUCAGUAUUUGGGCCAUCAUAUCGGCCAAUCGAAACAAUAGGAAAUUUAAUCUCAUUCAUCAUCUCAUCUCUCGCCAAUUAAAACCCAAAACAAAGGAUUUUUUUAACAAAAUUAGUAAGAACACGAAAUACAUGACUCAGGUGGAUGCAUCAGAUCUCCAAGGUGAAAAAGAGUGACAUCACAUAAAUGCCUCAGAUGCAAAUUAACCAUAACCUUGAGUCUCCUCAUCUGCAUCGACAACGCUCCUUUCAACAACAAAAAAGAAACUUACAAACACAUUAAAAGGAGAGACACUAGAUAAACCGGCGAAGUAUUCUUUCUACAAGAAAGAGAGAGAAACAGUAUGGGAUAUUAUCAGAUGGAACCAAUACAUGAUUCAUUGGAAAUCAUAUCAUCCAUCAACAAUGCAAAUAUCCUCAUCUCACCCAAACGAAUCAAAAAUAGCAAGAAAAAACAAACAACGUGGAUAUUAUCAAGGAUGCAACAGAUCUCCAAGGUGAAAAUGGUCUGGCAUCACAGAGAAGCCUCAGAUGCAAAUUACCCAUAAAAAUUAUGUCUCCUCAUCUACAUCAACAAUGCUCCUUGAAGAAACAACAGCAAGAACAAGAAUGAAAUAUUAAUUUCAGAUGCCAAGAUCCCAAAUAAAUAUCAAACCCUAACAAAUACCAUAUACAGUAGUAGUACAGGGAUCCUAAGUCGCACGCGCACCCUGCACGCGGAUGGAUGACCAUCUCCCGUAUAUAUAGACAAGAGAAGAGAAGAGAAGAGAUGACGGCAUGGUGGGGUGCAGCAGCCGCGUGCGUGCUCAAAUGGCCAAAGACAAGCCCAUGCCCCCGGACCCUUGCUCCCUCACUUGGCUGGUCGAUGGCUGUCUCAUGGGCAUCCCUUGGCAACGUUGAUAACUGAACCGGUCUCUUGCAAUUUAUCUCCUCCUUGUAAUCAGCCUCCGCGAGCUCACCCAACCCAGCUUUGCCUCAAGACUCGAGAGAGAUAAUGGCUAGUAGUGUUCACUGUAAGCUGCAUGCAGGAGGCGAACCACCAGGCGGGGCAUUAGUUACAGAAGUUGAAUUGAUCGAUCGAGCACCAGAUUAAUUGUACUAUGUUAUGUCACCAAAGGAUCCAACCACUAAAGAGAGGAGGACGUAGUACGAGAUGAGAUGGACGCCGCUAAGCAUGGUACGUCACAGCAAUAUAAUAUAAUGGCAUCGAUCGACGAGUGUGCUCGUGUGUGUUGGUUUGCUGCUGACUGGUUGGACAUUUGUGCUGGCCUUUUUGUUUGAUUUUGCUACUGAACAGAUGGCUGUGGUUUGCUUCAUGGAUCGGCCAGGCAGCCACCUGUUUCUUCUUUCAGUUGCAUAAUAUAUCAUUUGGUUACUGCUCGCAACAGCCUCUUCUUUCUUUUGCAUAUAUUGUAUAUAAUUUGGUUACUGCUGGCAACAAUUCUGUCGUCAAACUGAAGAACUUUAUAUAUGCAUGAUGAUGAUGCCUGGGCAAUCUACAUUCACAAUAUGCAUAGCGAGCCACGACCAAUUUCUUCUCGACUACUCCCUCCGUUCCUAAAUACAAGUCUUUGUAGAGAUUUCACUAUGGACUGUAGAUUCAUUCAUUUUAUUCCGUACGUGGUCCCGAUAGUGAAAUCCCUCCAAAAACUUAUAUUUAGGAACGGAGGCAGUACUAGUUUACAUGCACUCCAUAAAAAGAAAGGUUGAUGAUAAACAAGAACAUCUCUUAUGUUGCAAAAUAAAUCACGCAUGCAUGCCUCCUCCAAACACACAAUUCAAGCCUUAUUUAGCACACCACUCUCAACCAUCGCAGCCAACAAACACUAGUCCGGUUCAAUUUCACAGCCAACAAAGCACAAACAGCUUGCUCUUCUCGCCGUUUUAUCUAGCGCCAACAACACAAAGAAAGAUAUUUUGGUGCCAUUUACACCAGUCAACAGCUAGCCAAGAAUAGAUGGCUAACGACUCACCCGACAAAAAGGAAACAUAUAUAGUUCCAACCAUUUAGUUACACCACCUCUACAACAAUCACAUUCAUUACAACAUGGCCACGAAAGCAAGAAUAAAUCAACUAGCGAGAAAAAAAUUCUUCAUCUACAGCUUGCUUGCCAUUUCAUUUCAGCACUAGCUAGUUCUACAACACU